rnacentral:rRNA from 1 species
GAUGAACGCUGGCGGCGUGCCUAAUACAUGCAAGUCGAGCGAACAGAUGAGGAGCUUGCUCCUCUGACGUUAGCGGCGGACGGGUGAGUAACACGUGGAUAACCUACCUAUAAGACUGGGAUAACUUCGGGAAACCGGAGCUAAUACCGGAUAAUAUAUUGAACCGCAUGGUUCAAUAGUGAAAGACGGUUUUGCUGUCACUUAUAGAUGGAUCCGCGCCGCAUUAGCUAGUUGGUAAGGUAACGGCUUACCAAGGCAACGAUGCGUAGCCGACCUGAGGGGGUGAUCGGCCACACUGGAACUGAGACACGGUCCAGACUCCUACGGGAGGCAGCAGUAGGGAAUCUUACGCAAAGGGCGAAAGCCUGACGGAGCAACGCCGCGUGAGUGAUGAAGGUCUUCGGAUCGUAAAAAUCUGUUAUUAGGGAAGAACAAAUGUGUAAGUAAAUAUGCACGUCUUGACGGUACCUAAUCAGAAAGCCACGGCUAACUACGUG